UGGUGUGAACAGGUUACCUGUGGUGCAGUGUAGUAGUGGAAAAAGCUGCAUCAUGUGUGACCUGCCCACACCGC
rnacentral:pre_miRNA from 1 species